rnacentral:misc_RNA from 1 species
GAUGAAGAACGCAGCGAAAUGCGAUACGUAAUGUGAAUUGCAGAAUUCAGUGAAUCAUCGAAUCUUUGAACGCAUAUUGCGCUCUCUGGUAUUCCGGAGAGCAUGCUUGUUUGAGUAUCAGUAAACACCUCAACUUCCAUAUCUUUUUUGAAAUGGGAGUUGGACUUGAGUGAUCCCAACGCUUUUCCUCACCGAACAGUGGCGGGUUACUUGAAAUGCAGGUGCAGCUGGACUUUUCUCUGAGCUAUAAGCAUAUCUAUUUAGUCUGCCUAAAAAACAGAUUAUUACCUUUGCUGCAGCUAACAUAAAGGAGAUUAGUUCUUGUGCUGACUGAUGCAGGAUUCACAAAGACAGGCUUCGGCCGACUUUGUAAACUCGAUCUCAAAUCAAGUAAGACUACCCGCUGAACUUAAGCAUAUCAAUAAGCGGAGGA